GAGAGGUGAAAGGCUAGCCGCCUGAAGAAGAGCUCGCGUCUGAUUAGCUAGUUGGUGGUGUAAGGGACUACCAAGGCGACGAUCAGUAGCUGGUCUGAGAGGAUGAUCAGCCACACUGGAACUGAGACACGGUCCAGACUCCUACGGGAGGCAGCAGUGGGGAAUUUUCCGCAAUGGGCGAAAGCCUGACGGAGCAAUACCGCGUGAGGGAGGAAGGCUCUUGGGUUGUAAACCUCUUUUCUCAAGGAAGAAGUUCUGACGGUACUUGAGGAAUCAGCAUCGGCUAACUCCGUGCCAGCAGCCGCGGUAAUACGGAGGAUGCAAGCGUUAUCCGGAAUGAUUGGGCGUAAAGCGUCCGCAGGUGGUUGUGUGUGUCUAUUGUCAAAGCAUCAUGCUUAACAUGAUAAAGGCAGUAGAAACUACACGACUAGAGUGCGUUCGGGGCAGAGGGAAUUCCUGGUGUAGCGGUGAAAUGCGUAGAGAUCAGGAAGAACACCGGUGGCGAAAGCGCUCUGCUAGGCCGCAACUGACACUGA
rnacentral:rRNA from 1 species